CCCUUAGAUGUUCUGGGCCGCACGCGCGCUACACUGAUACAUUCAACGAGUUUUUCCUGGUCCGAGAGGAAUGGGUAACCUUUUGAAAGUGCAUCGUGCUAGGGAUAGACUAUUGCAAUUAUUGGUCUUCGACGAGGAAUUCCUAGUAGACGUAGUUCAUCAGACUGCAUCGAUUACGUCCCUGCCCUUUGUACACACCGCCCGUCGCUCCUACCGAUUGGAUGAUCCGGUGAGCUAUUCGGACCUUCGCUUCGUCGAUUUUCGGCUUUGUGAGGGAAAGUCUCGCGAACCUUAUCAUCUAGAGGAAGGAGAAGUCGUAACA
rnacentral:rRNA from 1 species